rfam:Picea glauca, whole genome shotgun sequence.
ACAUGCCUACAACAUAGAGUUAAAGCACCAGAUCCCAUUAGAACUCUGAAGUUAAGCGCACUCGGGGUAGAGUAGUAAUGGGAUGGGUGACCACCCAAGAAGUCCUAGUAUUUUACAUGCC